rnacentral:rRNA from 1 species
UACGUAGGGUGCAAGCGUUGUCCGGAAUUAUUGGGCGUAAAGAGCUCGUAGGCGGUCUGUCGCGUCGGCUGUGAAAACCCGGGGCUCAACCCCGGGCCUGCAGUCGAUACGGGCAGACUAGAGUGCGGUAGGGGAGACUGGAAUUCCUGGUGUGGCGGUGAAAUGCGCAGAUAUCAGGAGGAACACCGGUGGCGAAGGCGGGUCGCUGGGCCGUAACUGACGCUGAGGAGCGAAAGCGUGGGGAGCAAACAGG